rfam:Marchantia polymorpha subsp. polymorpha scaffold4519, whole genome shotgun sequence.
GAGAGCCGUGUGAUGGAAGACUAUCAAGCACGGUUCCACGAGAAGGGCUAAUCCUUUACUCGAC